GAUCCUGGCUCAGGACGAACGCUGGCGGCGUGCCUAAUACAUGCAAGUAGAACGCUGAAGGAGGAGCUUGCUUCUCUGGAUGAGUUGCGAACGGGUGAGUAACGCGUAGGUAACCUGCCUGGUAGCGGGGGAUAACUAUUGGAAACGAUAGCUAAUACCGCAUAAGAGUAGAUGUUGCAUGACAUUUGCUUAAAAGGUGCAAUUGCAUCACCUACCAGAGUCGGACCUGUCGG
rnacentral:rRNA from 1 species